GUCCACGCUGUAAACGAUGAUCACUAGAUGUGGGUUGGGCAUAGCCUGAUCCGUGUCGAAGCUAACGCGUUAAGUGAUCCGCCUGGGAAGUACGGUCGCAAGAUUAAAACUCAAAGGAAUUGACGGGGGUCCGCACAAGCGGUGGAACAUGUGGUUUAAUUCGACACUACGCGAGGAACCUUACCUGGGUUUGACAUGUAACUGCCACUAGUGGAAACACUAGGUUUCUAUAGAAAUAUAGAACGGUUACACAGGUGCUGCAUGGCUGUCGU
rnacentral:rRNA from 1 species